rnacentral:lncRNA from 10 species
AUCUGGGAGCUCUGGGCCACAUGGAAAACCCAACUCCCUCCCUGUCCCCGUAUGCGGGCAGAGAGCCCAGGCCACCCAUGCACUUCUCUCCCCUCUCCUGUUCCGCGGGCCCUGGCUGCCCUGGGAAGCUCCACAUUCAGACAGGCCUGGUGCAGACGCCGGUGUCCUGGCAGCACCUAAAUCAUUAGUGCCGCGGAGAUUAGGAUACUAAUCUCCUUGUUGGGUGGAGCGGUGCCAGCCACCAGCCUGCGGAUCAUGCUGCUCUUUUGCAGGGGCCGUUCCUCGGGGCAUGACGCUGGCUCCUGCACAGAUCCUGCUCCUCUGUGGCCUUCCUGGGCUGCCCUCCCCUCCUCCGGGACUGCUCUGGACUGACAUUGCUCAGGCUGGAGUGCAAUGGUGUGAUCUCGGCUCACUGCAACCUCCACCUCCCAGGUUCAAGCUAUUCUCCUGCCUCAGCCUCCUGAGUAGCUGGGAUUACAGAUCCUGGUGGCUGUGGUCGGUAAUUCCAGCUUCGUGCUGGCUACAGGUGGAUGAUGCCCACCUGGCUGCCGAUGACC